AAGCACCGGCUAACUCUGUGCCAGCAGCCGCGGUAAUACAGAGGGUGCAAACGUUGUUCGGAAUUACUGGGCAUAAAGCGCGCGUAGGCGGCGACGUAAGUGUAGGGUGAAAUCCCACGGCUCACCCGUGUGAAUUGCCCCGCAUACUGCGUUGCUUGAGUGUGGUAGGGGAGAGCGGAACUCCUGGUGGAGCGGUGAAAUGCGUAGAUAUCAGGAGGAACACCGGUGGCGUAGGCGGCUCUCUGGUCCAUAACUGACGCUGAAGUGCGAAAGCUAGGGUAGCGAACGGGAUUAGAUACCCCGGUAGUCCUAGCCGUAAACGAU
rnacentral:rRNA from 1 species